UCCUGCCCCACCAGGACGGCUCCCGUCUCCGCCCUCGGCACUGCAUUGCUUCUACUGUCCUGCUCUCAGCUCUAGUUUACCCGAACGUGGACACAAAGACCCAUAGUUGGACUUUUAUUUUGGGUUCUGUGGCCCGGAAGCACGGAGGGAUAGCUGUGCUAGUGGAGGCAGGCACGGGAAGCGCAGUCCCGGAAGCUGCCCCGCCCCCUGGCGUCGGCUCCUACGCACUACAAUUCCCAGCUUGCUAUUCGAGCAAGCUCGGAGGCGGAACCCGAGUGUCGUCAUAGCAACUGAAUCAUCUCCCUCUCAGAGACUUCUCAAGCUACUCUGUUCGGCCGCUAUACAUACGCUAUGUCUCAUCCUCACUACAAUUCCACGAGAUUAUCCCCCUUUUUAGAGAUAAAAUGCACUUCAAAAUAUCACUUGCCAAAAUUUCUGAAUUCUAAAUAAGCUUUUCACUGAAACCUUACUACAACAUGGAGGAGUAGACUUGAUGCAGCACGGAUAUGAGGACCUGACCUUCAGAGUGACUCUCCACAUCACGUGGCCACAUUACGGGGGGAAAACCCUUUCCCAUUUAAUAUUUGUGCAUGCAAUUUUGAAUAAUAAAACUAUGAGAGAUA